GCAUAUCAAUAAGCGGAGGAAAAGAAAAUAACAAUGAUUCCCCUAGUAACUGCGAGUGAAGAGGGACAAGCUCAAAUUUUAAAUCUGUCGGGUUCUACCUGACCGAGUUGUAAUUUGAAGAGGCGUUUUCUGUGUUUCUGAUCAGUCCAAGUCCUUUGGAAUAAGGCAUCACGGAGGGUGAGAAUCCCGUUCGGUUGAUCAGAUUCGCUUUACGAUACGCUUUCAAAGAGUCAAGUUGUUUGGGAUUGCAGCUUAAAAUGGGAGGUAAAUUUCUCCUAAGGCUAAAUAACGGCGAGAGACCGAUAGCGAACAAGUACCGUGAGGGAAAGAUGAAAAGAACUUUGAAAAGAGAGUUAAAUAGUACGUGAAAUUGUUGAAAGGGAAACGAUUGAAGCCAGUCGUACCUGCGGGUAAUCAGCCUUUUGGGCAUGGUUCUGUGGAGCGUGAGGAGUUAAACGCCUUCAUGCCUGCAUAUUCGUGUACUUUGGGUGUACUUGCCUGUGUGGUUAGUUAACAUCAAUUUUGGUUAUCAUAAAAUGGCUGGAGGAAUGUAGCUUCGAUUUCGAUUGAAGUGUUAUAGCCUUCGGCAGAUGUGAUGAUCGGGAUUGAGGAUUGCAACGGAUACCCUUCGGGGCUACCUGUCUGAUCUCUGAUCGUUGCUCUGGUGCCGAAAGCGUGCUUACGGUUAUCAAAGUCGAUGGUUAAUAGGUUAGAACGGGUUAAAUUCGUUAAGGAUGUUGACGUA
rnacentral:rRNA from 1 species